rnacentral:rRNA from 1 species
GAUGAACGCUGGCGGCGUGCCUAAUACAUGCAAGUCGAGCGAACGGACGAGAAGCUUGCUUCUCUGAUGUUAGCGGCGAACGGGUGAGUAACACGUGGAUAACCUACCUAUAAGACUGGGAUAACUUCGGGAAACCGGAGCUAAUACCGGAUAAUAUUUUGAACCGCAUGGUUCAAAAGUGAAAGACGGUCUUGCUGUCACUUAUAGAUGGAUCCGCGCUGCAUUAGCUAGUUGGUAAGGUAACGGCUUACCAAGGCAACGAUGCAUAGCCGACCUGAGAGGGUGAUCGGCCACACUGGAACUGAGACACGGUCCAGACUCCUACGGGAGGCAGCAGUAGGGAAUCUUCCGCAAUGGGCGAAAGCCUGACGGAGCAACGCCGCGUGAGUGAUGAAGGUCUUCGGAUCGUAAAACUCUGUUAUUAGGGAAGAACAUAUGUGUAAGUAACUGUGCACAUCUUGACGGUACCUAAUCAGAAAGCCACGGCUAACUACGUGCCAGCAGCCGCGGUAAUACGUAGGUGGCAAGCGUUAUCCGGAAUUAUUGGGCGUAAAGCGCGCGUAGGCGGUUUUUUAGUCUGAUGUGAAAGCCCACGGCUCAACCGUGGAGGGUCAUUGGAAACUGGAAAACUUGAGUGCAGAAGAGGAAAGUGGAAUUCCAUGUGUAGCGGUGAAAUGCGCAGAGAUAUGGAGGAACACCAGUGGCGAAGGCGACUUUCUGGUCUGUAACUGACGCUGAUGUGCGAAAGCGUGGGGAUCAAACAGGAUUAGAUACCCUGGUAGUCCACGCCGUAAACGAUGAGUGCUAAGUGUUAGGGGGUUUCCGCCCCUUAGUGCUGCAGCUAACGCAUUAAGCACUCCGCCUGGGGAGUACGACCGCAAGGUUGAAACUCAAAGGAAUUGACGGGGACCCGCACAAGCGGUGGAGCAUGUGGUUUAAUUCGAAGCAACGCGAAGAACCUUACCAAAUCUUGACAUCCUUUGACAACUCUAGAGAUAGAGCCUUCCCCUUCGGGGGACAAAGUGACAGGUGGUGCAUGGUUGUCGUCAGCUCGUGUCGUGAGAUGUUGGGUUAAGUCCCGCAACGAGCGCAACCCUUAAGCUUAGUUGCCAUCAUUAAGUUGGGCACUCUAAGUUGACUGCCGGUGACAAACCGGAGGAAGGUGGGGAUGACGUCAAAUCAUCAUGCCCCUUAUGAUUUGGGCUACACACGUGCUACAAUGGACAAUACAAAGGGCAGCGAAACCGCGAGGUCAAGCAAAUCCCAUAAAGUUGUUCUCAGUUCGGAUUGUAGUCUGCAACUCGACUACAUGAAGCUGGAAUCGCUAGUAAUCGUAGAUCAGCAUGCUACGGUGAAUACGUUCCCGGGUCU